ACGGGUGAGUAACGCGUGGGAAUCUACCGUGCCCUGCGGAAUAGCUCCGGGAAACUGGAAUUAAUACCGCAUACGCCCUACGGGGGAAAGAUUUAUCGGGGUAUGAUGAGCCCGCGUUGGAUUAGCUAGUUGGUGGGGUAAAGGCCUACCAAGGCGACGAUCCAUAGCUGGUCUGAGAGGAUGAUCAGCCACAUUGGGACUGAGACACGGCCCAAACUCCUACGGGAGGCAGCAGUGGGGAAUAUUGGACAAUGGGCGCAAGCCUGAUCCAGCCACGCCGCGUGAGUGAUGAAGGCCUUAGGGUUGUAAAGCUCCUUCACCGGAGAAGAUAAUGACGGUAUCCCGAGAAGAAGCCCCGGCUAACUUCGUGCCAGCAGCCGCGGUAAUACGAAGGGGGCUAGCGUUGUUCGGAAUUACUGGGCGUAAAGCGCACGUAGGCGGAUAUUUAAGUCAGGGGUGAAAUCCCAGAGCUCAACUCUGGAACUGCCUUUGAUACUGGGUAUCUUGAGUAUGGAAGAGGUAAGUGGAAUUCCGAGUGUAGAGGUGAAAUUCGUAGA
rnacentral:rRNA from 1 species